UGAAAAUUGUGGGGAUGAAUAUAAUAAAUGAUGAUGAAGACGGAGGAUACCCAAAUCUUACCUAAACCCUGUCUAUCUGCCUUCCGCAUUCUUAAAUCUCGAUUCCUCACUCCUCCAGGAAUCCCUCUUCGUUUCUUCGAUCACCUCCUUCGUCUUAAUCUAUCGGAAGUCGUCAUUGCAGUCUUCCCCGUCGUCUACGCCCGUCGCCCCUUUUUCUCACUCUCUAAACCAGAAAGAGCUGUUACCUCUUAUUUUCUUCUUUGGGUUCAUAUUUGUCUCCCGAAAUGGCUGCAGAGCAUUCAGCUGACAUGUUGAAAUAGGCAAAUAGAGAAGCAAGGUGAAGUACUAAUGGAGGCAUAUCGUUCAAUGUCCCAUGAGCUACAUCGACUUCAGAUAGAGGAAGAAAUGCUCAUGCAGAAACUGUACAAGAUGAUGAGUGUGAACGGAAAAGAAAAGAAAGAAUGAUUCAACUAAACAUGCAAAUGAAUUAUUGGAGGAAAGGUAAUGCAAAAUUUUUGUGAACACUUUUUUAUUCCGUCUGCUAGCUGACUGCUGGGACCUUAUGAUUCAAGAAUAAUACUUGCUUACGGGGAUCUGAUGGUUGAACCUAAAAGCAAUUAGAUUAACCUACACCAUCUAUGAAAAUUCGAUAUCAUGACAUGAUUGUGUUAGUAUCUUUAACAUAAAUGUGAAUGUUAUUGCACACUCUAAGCAAUUAUUAAGUUUCUGCAUAUCAUUGUGAAGAAA